rnacentral:lncRNA from 1 species
GCAGCUGGAGUGUGCUCUUGGCUCUUAAUUAGCUCUGCAUUUUGAGUCUGACGUCUGGUGCCUGACUCCUAAAACGGUCUAUUGAAGGAAGAAUUAGAUUCCUGUGCUGGUCUGCAGAUCACACCAGGAGCGUCAUGGAACACUACACCUUGAAAUAAGCACAGAGGUUUGCUGCAUGUGGGCGCCCCAUAUCCAGCCAGGGAAAGCUGAGACUGUGCCCACAGAGAACUUGAGACAGCCUUUGCUCAAUGAACCACCAAUAUAGUCUCUGGGGAAAAAGAAAAAAUAAAAAUGCAGGGUUCAACUGCUGAUAUGAGAACCAACAGAGAGCCUUUUAAAAACCACAGAUGGGAAGGAAAGUGCUGCGUCAGUGGUUGUUGCUUUUGAGAUGGGCUGUAAGGAAAAUCUGUUUUCUAAGAACGGUGGCACCGACCUCAUUCCUAGCCUACCAACGCUGGAGACAAAACAGAGCUUAAGCUCAGUGAUCCCAG